GCGAGUCGAGAGGGUUCGGCCCUCGGCUGACGGCUCAGUAACACGUGGAUAAUCUACCCUUAGGUGGAGGAUACCCUCGGGAAACUGAGAAUAAUACUCCAUAGGUCUAGGAUGCUGGAAUGCAUCUAGACUGAAAACUCCGGUGCCUAAGGAUGAGUCUGCGGACUAUCAGGUUGUAGUCAGGGUAAAGACCUGACUAGCCUACGACGGAUACGGGUUGUGAGAGCAAUAACCCGGAGAUGAUAUCUGAGACACGAUAUCAGGCCCUACGGGGCGCAGCAGGCGCGAAAACUUCACACUGUGCGAAAGCACGAUGAGGGAAUCUCAAGUGCCAGCUCGUAAGAGUUGGCUGUUUUUCUGUCUAAAACACAGAGAGAGUAAGAGCUGGGUAAGACGGGUGCCAGCCGCCGCGGUAAUACCUGCAGCUCAAGUGGUGACCGUUAUUAUUGGGCCUAAAACGUUCGUAGCCGGUUUAGUAAAUGCCUGGGUAAAUCGUGUAGCUUAACUAUACGAAUUCCGGGUAGACUGCUAAGCUUGAGACCGGGAGAGGCUAGAGGUACUCCUGGGGUAGAGGUGAAAUUCUGUAAUCCUGGGGGGACCACCAGUGGCGAAGGCGUCUAGCUAGAACGGGUCUGACGGUGAGGGACGAAGCCCUGGGGCGCAAACCGGAUUAGAUACCCGGGUAGUCCAGGGUGUAAACGCUGCUCGCUUGAUGUUAGUCGGGCUCCGA
rnacentral:rRNA from 1 species